rnacentral:other from 1 species
GGGGAGAUGGCGAUGGAUAUAAAGUUUAAGUUUCUCGCCCUACAAUCUCUACAAAAGGGAGCGGUCCCUGGUCACGGUGUGUAAGCUCAUAUGAGGAUAAAACCUCUUUAGUGAGAAACCUAAAGUGAUUAUUAACUGCGCCCCCCUGUCAAAUGACAGGCGUGGAACCAAAAAUAAUUGCCUCCACUGUCACCUCC